GAAGUUAGUUGCCAUUUUCACUUGUUGCAUGUGUAAGUGAGAGUUCAUCAAAGUACAAUCCAAUCUUACUACAUCUAUUGUUGUUUUUGCUACAAGGUAUACAGCCUCAACAUUUAUUUGCAUGUGUGAGUGAAAACACACAAACAUGGAGGAGGAUGAGACUGAACGUUCGUCCCGGGAUUCUUCCCAACAUUCGGAUAAGCAAAAGGAUUCUGCCCAACCAAGACAAGAUGAGUUCAUAAAAAAGAGGGGGGCUACGUCUGUUGUUUGGAAUUGGUUUGGGUAUGAAAAAUCAGACACAGCAAAAAAUCAAACUUAGUAUACCGCAGAUCAGUCCCAAUUCCGACUCAAACACAACAAGCCUAUUUGAUCACCUAGAAAAGAAUCAUGAUGCAGUACCGAGAGAGACAAAAAAUUUUAACUAUCAAAGGAAAGUCGAGUGUUAAAAGCAAACAUCAGACGCAAACUUUGAAGGAUGCUUUUGCCCGAGGCACUCCAUAUGACAAGACAUCAGGAACAUGAAAGGAGAUAACGUGUGCCAUUACGAUACACAUAUGCAAAGACAUGGUGCCGAUUUACACCGUUGAGAAGACAGGGUUUAAAUCAUUAGUCAAAACCUGAGGUAUGUUAUGCCAAGCCGCAAGCAUUUGGUGAAAUUUAGUUGCCACGUUUAUAUGAAGAAUGUAGGGCUAAAGUUGUAGUGAAGCUUAGCGGGGUAACGUACUAUGCAAUAACAACCGACAUGUGGACGAGCCGAAUGACAGAGCCUUAUUUGAGCUUGACAAUCCAUUUAAUCAAAGACUGGACACUGUGUAGUCGAUGUCUACAGACUAGGUAUUUCCCCAAUGACCAUAAGGACAGCUUAUAGCCAAGGGUCUUAAGGAAGCUCUAGAGUCAUGGGGAUUGCUGGAAGAUCAGCUAGUCUGUGUCACCAUGGACAACGCCACUAACAAUAUCAGUGCUAUGGAGCGGAAAGACUGGAGGAGAUUAGUGUUUUGGCCAUUGACUUCAUCUAGCUAUUGAGCGAGGUGUGAAACUACCACAAGUGGAGCGUGCAGUUGGUGUCUGCAAGAAGUUGGUGGGUGCCUUCUCUAAUUCUUGUAAGAGAAGACAGGAGCUGACCAAGGCUGAAGUAGAGCUGGGCUUGCCUGCUCAUCAGCUGAUCACAGAGACCCCCACCAGAUGGGGAUCUUGACAACAGAUGAUUGAAAAGGGAGCAGGAGAAAGCUCUAACACAGGUCAUCCAAGCAGACAAGAAGACACGACAUCUGGCAGGAAAUGGGUGUUCUGGAGUCUAUCAACAAGGAACUCAGCCCCCUCAUGGAGUUUACAGAUGCCUUGUCUGGGGAGCAGUACACAAGUGUAUCUGUUGUGAAACCCGUGCACCACCUUUUUAAUAACUAAGUUCUCAAGCGUCAACAUGACGACAUUCCGCUCACCACGUCCAUCAAAGGCACUAUCCUCAAUUACUUAAAUGAGAAGUUUGAUGACGAAACCACAGAGGAGCUGCUUGACAUGGGUUCACUUCUCGAUCCUUGGUUCAAAACCACUUACAUAAAAGAAGAGAAGGAGGACUACAUGAAGACGAAAUCUGCGGCAGAAAUUGAGAGGCUAGCACCUAUACAAGUAGCGUCAGAAGACGCAGUCUCCAUUCCACCAGUUGCUAGAGAUGAGCCAGAGCUUUCUGCUAAGAAACAAUAGAAAAGUUUUGGCAGCUACUUAAAAAAAGCAGCAGUGCAAGACCAAGCCACCCCUCAGAGAGAAAGGGAGUUCAGCAACUACCUCCAAACAGAGAGCUACCCCCUGGAAUGGUGGAAGCAGGACAAGACAUAUUUCACACUGGUGGCCAGGCUAGCAAAGAAAUAUUUGUGCAUCCCGGCCACAAGAGCCCCAUCAGGGCGGGCGUUCAGCACAAGUGGGAAUAUUGUGAUAUGUAUUAGGUCAUCAUUAAAACCAGAGGGGGUUGACCAGCUUGUAUUCCUGGCCCUCAACCAAACCCCUGAAAGGCAGCACAAGGCAAAAAUAAAUUGUAAAAGAAACACGGAAACGUUGUCGCUGCUGUCUAUUUUGUUUGCUGCACUUUGAUUGUAUUACUUUUGGUAUUUUAUAUUCUUAUUUGUGUCAUUUAUUUAUUUUGUUUAAUCUUAUGGCUGUUACUUAAAAUAAUCAAAUUUACUUGAUAUUCAUAUUGUAGGCCUAUGUUUAUUUUGUUUGCUGUUAUGGCUGAUACUUCAAAGUGUUUUAUACUUGAUGUUCUAUAUACAUAUUGUAGACCGUCAUUUCGUUUGCAGCUAUAAUUCACUUGAAAGUAAUUUUUAUGUAUACAUUGCACUUCAAGUUUUAAAUAAAAGUAGAAAAUUAUGAGUUGUAUCAAGUUAAGUAUUUAAAAAUAAUAUUCUUGACUAUGUGGUUAUUUAAAAAAAACUAGUAAUAGAUUUUCAAGGAAAUGUGAUAUUCUAUGAUAUAUAUAGUUAUAGUAAAAUAAAAUGACUUAUUCCAUGAUAUAUAUUUUUGCCUAUAUCGCCCACACCUAGUGCCAUGUUGUCUGGUGUCUCAACUCAGUGGGUCACCCUAAUCUCACACCAAUGGACCUAUUUGAUUCCUGAAAGGAACAGACAUACACGGUGGGGUCCAAGGUAGCCCCAUCCGCUCAGACGAACCAGAAGUGAGGAUGGACAAAUCAACAAAGUAGAAAUAUGACAUUUGUUGGAUUAAUCUCUCUGAUAUUUGGCCUUUUAAUUUGUGUCUCAAAAAGGGAUAAACUCUCCAAUAGCUUUCAAUGCUGUACAUGUCAUGUAUCAUUUGUUACAGGUAAAUGUUUACUGGAUGAAGAAUCCUGCAAGACCAAGAGUCAUGCUUUGGAUGGUGCUAAUUGAAUAUUUGUAAAUGUGUGAAUGCUGGUUUCUUUAUUUUCAUUGUUUUAGCCAAGGUGAGGUGAUCCUAUUAUAGAUGCAAUGGGGGAGUUUGGAAUCGGUCUGUCUAGAUGGGAUAAAUAAUGACGUUUGACUUGAUUCUUGGAGUCUAUCAUUAACAGAAGGUCCUAGCAUACCUUCUUGCUGUAGUGUUAAAUACUUAUGGUAUAUUUAGCAGACUAGGUGGGAGGAUGUUGAAUCAUGUUGGUAUGUAACUGUUUUGUAUUGUGACAUUAUGACUUAAUUGGAAUGAAUUGUAUUACUUUGGAAUAUAGAUUACUACGUCAUUCUUCGUUCAUCUCCAUACUCAAGCUCGUAGAGUUACUCGUAAUUACACACACACGUAAGUCUAAGCGACCAGAUGUGGUAUCCUUAAGUCCUGGAUUCU
ensembl:lncRNA